rnacentral:tRNA from 5 species
GGGCGAUUGGCUCAGGGGUAGAGCACUUCCUUCACACGGAAGGGGUCGUGGGUUCAAAUCCCGCAUCGCCCACCA